rnacentral:rRNA from 1 species
UAAUACAUAAGUGACCUGCCCUAGACAGGGGGAUAACUAUUGGAAACGAUAGCUAAGACCGCAUAGGUACGGACACUGCAUGGUGACCGUAUUAAAAGUGCCUCAAAGCACUGGUAGAGGAUGGACUUAUGGCGCAUUAGCUGGUUGGCGGGGUAACGGCCCACCAAGGCGACGAUGCGUAGCCGACCUGAGAGGGUGACCGGCCGCACUGGGACUGAGACACGGCCCAG